CAGCAGCCACGGUAAUACGUAGGUGGCAAGCGUUGUCCGGAUUUAUUGGGCGUAAAGCGAGCGCAGGCGGUCAAUUAAGUCUGAUGUGAAAGCCCCCGGCUCAACCGGGGAGGGUCAUUGGAAACUGGUUGACUUGAGUGCAGAAGAGGAGAGUGGAAUCCCAUGUGUAGCGGUGAAAUGCGUAGAUAUAUGGAGGAACACCAGUGGCGAAGGCGACUCUCUGGUCCGUAACUGACGCUGAGGCUCGAAAGCGUGGGUAGCAAACAGGAUUAGAUACCCCUGUAGUCCCUGUCUCUUAUAC
rnacentral:rRNA from 1 species